AUUGAACGCUGGCGGCAUGCCUUACACAUGCAAGUCGAACGGCAGCACGGGUGCUUGCACCUGGUGGCGAGUGGCGAACGGGUGAGUAAUACAUCGGAACAUGUCCUGUCGUGGGGGAUAGCCCGGCGAAAGCCGGAUUAAUACCGCAUACGAUCUACGGAUGAAAGCGGGGGGCCUUCGGGCCUCGCGCUAUAGGGUUGGCCGAUGGCUGAUUAGCUAGUUGGUGGGGUAAAGGCCUACCAAGGCGACGAUCAGUAGCUGGUCUGAGAGGACGCCCAGCCACACUGGGACUGGGACACGGCCCAGACUCCUACGGGAGGCAGCAGUGGGGAAGUUUGGACAAUGGGCGAAAGCCUGAUCCAGCAAUGCCGCGUGUGUGAAGAAGGCCUUCGGGUUGUAAAGCACUUUUGUCCGGAAAGAAAUCCUUGGCCCUAAUACGGUCGGGUGAUGACGGUACCGGAAGAAUAAGCACCGGCUAACUACGUG
rnacentral:rRNA from 1 species